CCCUUUUUCAGUUUUAUAGAUAAAAAGACAAAGUUAAUGUGCCUUGUAAAUCUUACCCCUCUCAGCAUCUUUAAGUUUAACCCCAUCUGUUUUACUGCAAUCUAGUA